rnacentral:rRNA from 1 species
AUGGGGAUAGGUCAUUGUAGCCCAGUGUCGAAUGCCAAGAGGAAAUUGCCACCAGGUAGCCCGCAGAGCACAUCUGCCAAGAGAAGGAAACCCAGGCUUCGAAUCAGCAGUCUACCCAAUGAUAUUUUGAGCUCUAUCACAUCUAAAUUGUCACUGAAGGAGGCUGCCAGGACGAGCAUCUUGUCGAGCCAGUGGCGGCGUGUUUGGUCGUGCCGCGCCUACAUUGAUCUCAGUCAUCACACGGUCUUGUCGGAGUCCGACAAGGAACGAUCCUGGACUGGUCCUCGAGGUAUUAGACUCAACAGGCGCAAAUUUAUUAAGAGUGUUGGUGCACUUCUCCAGCAACACGAGGGUGUAGGGACCGAGGACAUCAGAAUCAGGCAUAAUCUCUGUGAUAGAUAUGCGGGUCAUAUCAAUAGAUUGGUCGACUAUGCUAUUGCGUCGAAGGCGAAGGGUCUCAUUCUUGAAUUAUGGGCAGUGAAUUAUGGGCCCACGACAGUGCCAUAUAAUUUCCCUCUUCAGGUUCUUGAUACAAAGAACUCAAACUUGUGCCGUCUGGAGCUUUGGUUUGUUUCUUUAAGUCCGCCUGCCAGUUACAGGGGAUUUCAGAAUCUCACUAAGCUUUGCCUGCGAGAUGUUAGUAUUACCAAUGAAGAUGUUCAACGUUUGCUGUCUGAAGGCAAUCAUCUAGAGUGCCUCCGUAUUACCUACUGUAAGAUGCUUACCAGUUUAAGGAUUCCACAUUGCCUGAAUCGCCUUAAGGUUUUGCUUGUUCUGAGUUUCCCGCUACUUCAAGACAUGACGCUAGAUUGUGGAGUGCCAGCACUCCACUAUAGAGGCUCAUUGAUACCAAUGGAGUUUGCUGCACCUUUGAAGCUAAGGAAACUAUCGAUUGAGUUAUUGACUUGCCAUUCUGCUCUAGGAUUCAUCUUCAAUGAACUCCCAGCAACUCUCCCACGUCUUGAGAUGCUCUCAUUAAGUUGCACACAACUUGAGAGGGUUGAUUCAGUGAGCAGGCUUUCCAAAUUUCGUUCUCUGCAUCAUUUGAUAUUAAACUGGACUAUUUCUGGCUCUGCACGCGGGACAACUGAUAUCCUCGACCUUGGUUGUCUCCUAGAGGCUGCCCCUUUCAUGGAAAAACUAGAAUUGCAUAUGGUAAUGGACCAUUUCCUACACAAGCGGUACUGUCAUGAAGACGGCGAGCUGAGGAGUCUCCCUUCAUGCCCGCACUCACAUCUCAGUUUGGCGCAUAUAAGCGGAUUCAUCGGCGAGAAAGAUCAACUGGAGCUGGCGCUUCAUAUUCUCCACAAUGCUACGGUUCUCAAAUCAUUGAAGAUCGAUCCAUGGCCGAGAACAGCUAACCCUAUACGAGCGCGCGUCAAGUCAGAAAACCGUCUUGCCAAUGGUCGGAGUGUUGCAUUGGAAUUUCUUUGCAAAGAUGACUACCGCAAUGUCGUCAGCGUGCUUGAAGAUGUGGGGGAGUAG